GACGAACGCUGGCGGCGUGCUUAACACAUGCAAGUCGAACGCUGAAGCUCAGCUUUUGUUGGGUGGAUGAGUGGCGAACGGGUGAGUAACACGUGAGUAACCUGCCCCCUUCUUUGGGAUAACGCCCGGAAACGGGUGCUAAUACUGGAUAUUCACUGGUCUUCGCAUGGGGGUUGGUGGAAAGGGUUUUUCUGGUGGGGGAUGGGCUCGCGGCCUAUCAGCUUGUUGGUGGGGUGAUGGCCUACCAAGGCUUUGACGGGUAGCCGGCCUGAGAGGGUGACCGGUCACAUUGGGACUGAGAUACGGCCCAGACUCCUACGGGAGGCAGCAGUGGGGAAUAUUGCACAAUGGGCGCAAGCCUGAUGCAGCGACGCCGCGUGAGGGAUGGAGGCCUUCGGGUUGUGAACCUCUUUCGCUCAUGGUCAAGCCGCGACAAUGGUUGUGGUGAGGGUAGUGGGUAAAGAAGCGCCGGCUAACUACGUG
rnacentral:rRNA from 1 species